rnacentral:rRNA from 1 species
GACGAACGCUGGCGGCGUGCUUAACACAUGCAAGUCGAACGAUGAAGCUAGAGCUUGCUCUGGUGAAUUAGUGGCGAACGGGUGAGUAACACGUGAGUAACCUGCCCCGAACUCUGGGAUAACUGCUGGAAACGGUAGCUAAUACUGGAUACGACCUACGAAGGCAUCUUCUGUAGGUGGAAAGAAUUUCGGUUCGGGAUGGACUCGCGGCCUAUCAGCUAGUUGGUGAGGUAACGGCUCACCAAGGCAACGAUCGGUAACCGGCCUGAGAGGGCGAUCGGUCACACCGGAACUGAGACACGGUCCGGACUCCUACGGGAGGCAGCAGUGGGGAAUCUUGCGCAAUGGGCGAAAGCCUGACGCAGCAACGCCGCGUGGAGGAUGAAGGCCUUUGGGUUGUAAACUCCUGUCGGCUGGGAAGAAAUCAUACGGCGCUCAUACCGCCGUAUGUUGACUGUACCAGCAAAGGAAGCCCCGGCUAACUCUGUGCCAGCCGCCGCCGUAA